GUAACAGUGUAUAGACUGGAGCAUGUUCCCAAGCCUCUUGAAGAAGGGUGAACACAGCUCAUAGUGGCAGUGUUGUAGUUUUAGACACCCAAACGAAACUUGCAAAAGCCGCUGAGCUCCUUUAGAAAGCAUUACAUUUUCAUCAGGGCUCACUUUCAGUUUAUCAGCACUGCUGGCUCUCGUUUGGAUGAAAACUGGUUUCCAUGGCCACCAGGUGCAGAUUUUUCCACCACAAAGCCGUAUUUGGCUGUAGCAGGGGAAACUGGAUCUAUCUACUGGCACUUUGUCCCAGUCUCCAGCUUUAGGUAGUGUUCACUUGUCCUCACUGACAGCCUGUUGAACACAGAGGCAUGAAACUAGAGACCCCCACUCCACCCAUUUACAUUCUCUUGUCCUAAGAAAUCGAAGCCGUGGGCUUUUCACUCUCCACAAUCUAUGACUGGUUCAGAGGGACCAUAUAGACUGCUUUAUGUCUUUAGUUAUGAUGUGAUCUUCUUACACUAUUUAGAAGGUACUUUGGAGAUUUCAAUCUGAAAUUAGCUUAUUUUAACUGUCAGAUGUGAGCACUGUUAACACAGGCACCAGCUACCACCCAAUGUGUUUUAAAAAAAAAAAAAAUGAAUGAAUAGACCAUUCAGCAUUUCACGAGGCCCCUCUCAGGAAUGCCAUUGUGCGUUUUGAACCUCAUGUUGCCGUUAUAUCCCUCUUUUUGCGCUCUCCACGUCGUCUUAUCUUCUGAUUGACUCUCAUGAUGUAGAGACUGCUUUUCAAGGCAUCCUUGAAUUCCACUCAUUCACCCGUCCCUCAAGAAUCUGCUGUGUCUGUAGGCACUUCUCUUUUUACCCUGUCACAAAUCUCACGUGGGGGUGUGGGCUGAAGAGAAUCCCUUGGGAGAGGGAGAUUACCAUCAAACCGAGAGAUCUUCUCACAAAAGAGGGAUUUGCCGAGUCCUAUAGCUCGAUCCUUUACUUUCCUAUGUGUUUGCCGGAAGUAGGACUUUGAGCAAGGUAUGAGAUUUGAUGACCUAUCCUUACUGUACCUGCCAGAAACCAAGAGGUG
ensembl:lncRNA